rnacentral:rRNA from 1 species
AAAUUGAAGAGUUUGAUCAUGGCUCAGAUUGAACGCUGGCGGCAGGCCUAACACAUGCAAGUCGAACGGUAACAGGAAGCAGCUUGCUGCUUUGCUGACGAGUGGCGGACGGGUGAGUAAUGUCUGGGAAACUGCCCGAUGGAGGGGGAUAACUACUGGAAACGGUAGCUAAUACCGCAUAACGUCGCAAGACCAAAGAGGGGGACCUUAGGG